GAUGAACGCUGGCGGCGUGCCUAAUACAUGCAAGUCGAGCGAACGGACGAGAAGCUUGCUUCUCUGAUGUUAGCGGCGGACGGGUGAGUAACACGUGGAUAACCUACCUAUAAGACUGGGAUAACUUCGGGAAACCGGAGCUAAUACCGGAUGAUAUUUUGAACCGCAUGGUUCAAAAGUGAAAGACGGUCUUGCUGUCACUUAUAGAUGGAUCCGCGCUGCAUUAGCUAGUUGGUAAGGUAACGGCUUACCAAGGCAACGAUGCAUAGCCGACCUGAGAGGGUGAUCGGCCACACUGGAACUGAGACACGGUCCAGACUCCUACGGGAGGCAGCAGUAGGGAAUCUUCCGCAAUGGGCGAAAGCCUGACGGAGCAACGCCGCGUGAGUGAUGAAGGUCUUCGGAUCGUAAAACUCUGUUAUUAGGGAAGAACAUAUGUGUAAGUAACUGUGCACAUCUUGACGGUACAUAAUCAGAAAGCCACGGCUAACUACGUG
rnacentral:rRNA from 1 species